rnacentral:tRNA from 1 species
GGGCGAUAGCUCAGUCGGAAGAGCGCUACACUCGCAUUGUAGAGGCCGAGGGUUCGAAUCCCUUUCGCUCC